UCUCUCUCUCUCUUACUCACUCAUCUCACCCAUGGUCACAAGGCACGGUCAUACAAGCGGGUUAGGGUGAGUCAACCCGUUGGGUAAGUGAACACGAACACAGGGGGACUCGACUCAGUUGGAGGCAGGUGUGGAGGAGGGCAAGGCAGGUUUGUUAGCGAGUUGCCAGGCGGAGGUGGCAAUGAGGGGGCGAGUGUGCCAACCCAGCAUCAGACACCCAUUGUUCUCCUCCACCCUGUACCCAUCCCCACCCGCGAAUAGAGCCAGCAGCAUACUCGCUUGCUUGAAAGCGUUGGACCCUAGGUUCACUGGGUCGAACCCCGCCGAUCCCAACCGGGCUCUCCACUGAGCCAGCGUUUCGUGCCGCUCCACUCGCUCAGGCCCCUCGCAGGCCACCACGUUACAGAUCUGUUGCCCCAAGUAUACCUCCGACAUCAGCUUGUCCUGGGUGUUCACCGGCGACACACCACACCCUUCCAAUGAGUCAAACAGAGUGGAGUAGUAGUGAAGCGACUCGGUGAACCGGUCUAGGAAAACGGGGCCGUUGUGGUUGGC
rnacentral:lncRNA from 1 species